rnacentral:rRNA from 1 species
UCUGCCCACUGAUUUAAUAUUAAAGGGCUGCAGUAUUUUGACUGUACAAAGGUAGCAUAAUCAUUAGUCAUUUAAUUGAUGACUUGUAUGAAGGAUUGGAUGAAAUAUAAACUGUCUCUUAGUUAAAUAUAAAAUUUAAUUUUUUAAUUAAAAAGUUAAAAUAAUUUAAAAAGACGAGAAGACCCUAUAGAGUUUUAUGAAUAGGUUAAUUAAUAUUAUUAAUUAAAAUUGAAAUUGAUUUGUUUAUUGUAUUGGGGUGAUAGAAAAAUAUACAUAACUUUUUUUUUUAUUAAGUACAUUUAUAGGUGGUUAAAUGAUCCAGUAUUAUUGAUUGUAAGAGAAAAUUACCUUAGGGAUAACAGCGUAAUUUUUUUUUUUAGUUCAUAUAAGAAAAAAAGUUUGCGACCUCGAUGUUGGAUUAAGAUAAAAUUUAAAUGUAGAAG